rnacentral:rRNA from 1 species
UACAGAGGUCUCAAGCGUUGUUCGGAUUCAUUGGGCGUAAAGGGUGCGUAGGCGGCGCGGUAAGUCGGGUGUGAAAUCUCGGAGCUUAACUCCGAAACUGCAUUCGAUACUGCCGUGCUUGAGGACUGGAGAGGAGACUGGAAUUUACGGUGUAGCGGUGAAAUGCGUAGAUAUUGGGAAGAACACCGGUGGCGAAGGCGCUCUACUGGGCCAUAACUGACACUGAUGGACGAAAGCUAGGGGAGCGAAAGGG